GGGACCAGACGCAAGAUUCAGAGAAAGAAAUUUGAAAGAAAGUAAAGAUGUACUGUCCAUUUUGUGGAACUGCCGCCAUAAAUUCUGCAGACUUUUGUCGUCAAUGUGGCAGAAACAUAAAAUUUGUCCAAGAUCAUGCAAACAAAGCCCAAGAUGAGAGGGACACUACCACUGCAACUCCCGAUGUUCAACCAAGCACCAGCACAGAUUAAUGUUGGGCUUAUGAGGAUGCAGGGAGAUUCCCUUAAGACAGUGAGAGGGAAGUCACUUCCAGUUGAGAUUCACCCUGAUGGGCAUCGGAACAAGUGCUUGCUGCUGCUGUAAAGAAGCAAAAGGAUUUCAAUAUAGACCUGAGAGAUUGUGCUCAUGUCUUGUUGUAUCCUGAUGCAAGGGAGGUUAAGAACAUCCCAGGAACAGACAUUCCUUUCAUAGUGCAAAAGUACAAGGAGGCAAUUGGAAAGCCUUACCAAAGACUUACGCUUUACAUUUGCCCUGUUGAGGACUUUGCAAACAGCUGUAAGUGCUUUUGAUCUGCAUUCCAAAUAGUUUGAAGAUCAAUUUUGCUAUAGUCUUAUAGUUAAAAUGGCAAAAUUUCCUCCUAUAUCCAGAAUUCUGUACAAGAUUAAUUCAAGCUAUGAUGUAGUAUAUUUUAAUUGUACUGUAAGGAAGCAAAAUGAUUUUCCUCUUUACAAAACCUACCUCCCAUUUGUAAAGAAUGAUGUACAAGCGUACAUUUUCUUAAUUGCAAAAUAUAGCCUUGCAAAAGAAAAUGUAUUAUUAUUUAUAGUACACAUUUAUAAUAUAUUUCUUUUCACUGGUUGUUGAAAUGAUAGUAACCAUUUUCCUUUGGUUAAUAUCAACCAACAAAAUUGUGUGGUUCAUAGUAAUAUAAGACUUACUGUCUUCAAAUAACUUCUAAAAGAUAUACAGAAAUCUGCUGCGCAGUUGGUAGCAUUGUUGCCUUGCAGCAAGAAGGUCUUGGUUUCAAUUCCUGGUCGAGUCUUUCUGUAAGGAGUUUGCAUGUUCUCCCUGUGCAUGGUGGGUUCUGUCCGGGUGCUCUGGGACAAGGGUAUAAGAAAAUGGAUGGAUGGAUAAAGAAAUCUGAAUAUACUGUGCUGCUAAAAUAAAGUGUGGCUUGUUAAACCAAAAGUACUUCAUGAAUACUUGCCAACGUGGGACCACUUUUUUUAGUAACGAGUAAUCAAACGCGUUGCUAUUUCAAAUCCAGUAGCCAUAUUAAAGUUACUUAUCCAAAUCACUGUGCAUUGCU